UUGAACGCUGGCGGCAGGCCUAACACAUGCAAGUCGAACGGUAACAGGAAACAGCUUGCUGUUUCGCUGACGAGUGGCGGACGGGUGAGUAAUGUCUGGGAAACUGCCUGAUGGAGGGGGAUAACUACUGGAAACGGUAGCUAAUACCGCAUAACGUCGCAAGACCAAAGAGGGGGACCUUCGGGCCUCUUGCCAUCGGAUGUGCCCAGAUGGGAUUAGCUAGUAGGUGGGGUAACGGCUCACCUAGGCGACGAUCCCCAGCUGGUCUGAGAGGAUGACCAGCCACACUGGAACUGAGACACGGUCCAGACUCCUACGGGAGGCAGCAGUGGGGAAUAUUGCACAAUGGGCGCAAGCCUGAUGCAGCCAUGCCGCGUGUAUGAAGAAGGCCUUCGGGUUGUAAAGUACUUUCAGCGGGGAUGAAGGGAGUAAAGUUAAUACCUUUGCUCAUUGACGUUACCCGCAGAAGAAGCACCGGCUAACUCCGUG
rnacentral:rRNA from 1 species